UAGGGAAUCUUCCACAAUGGACGAAAGCCUGAUGGAGCAACGCCGCGUGUGUGAUGAAGGCUUUCGGGUCGUAAGCACUGUUGUAUGGGAAGAACAGCUAGAAUAGGAAAUGAUUUUAGUUUGACGGUACCAUACCAGAAAGGGACGGCUAAAUACGUGCCAG
rnacentral:rRNA from 1 species